CUAAUGGAGCUGAGCUUACUCAGCUGGAUGAAGCAGACAGAUUUACCCUGUCAUCCCGCUACCAGCUUCCGUUGGUCAGGCCAAGUCCGGUAAAGGCGAUUCUGAAUACCAGAGAACUCUCUGGCGAAACCCACCUCAAGGUGGGUUUU
rnacentral:sRNA from 1 species